GGUGAUGUGGCUCAGUGGUAGAACAUCUGCUUGGCAAUCAAAAGGUCCCAGGUUCUAACCCUGGCAUCUCUC
rnacentral:tRNA from 1 species